GAAGGUGAGUGAGACAGUUUCUAGCUUUGGAAAGCAGAUACUGUAGUGGGAGAAAUGGCUGUACAGUUUAUUCCAGAAUACAAAGUAGAAAUGGUGACAAUCAGGGUCUGUGCUGAACUGUGUGCCCCAGGGGAAAGGAGCAGUUCAUUCUGUGUGAAAGGUUCAGAGAGUCUUCCCAGGGGAAGGAAGUGACUUGUGGACUGCUCAUCAUGUUGAAGAUGUCACUCUAAAGAGAAAUGGAAAUGACCAUUUACUGUAGGAAGAGAGACUUUAUCCUUUUAAGUUUUCAGACUUCAUAUACUGCGUCUUUCUUCUAAGAGCUCAAGCAGUGUAUUAAACCUCAUUGACCAAUGCGAAAUUCAAGGACCACAGAAAUGCCCAGAACAUGUCCAAGCUGAUGGCUGCUGAAAAUCCAUUUUCUCUUGGUGGUUUACAAAGCUGUCGCUGAUUCGCUCUCUCCAGCUCCAUGCUAAAACGAGGCUAGGAACUUCAUUGUCCAGAACUCGAGGCCUUUGCUCUGUCCACUGUGUUACUCUGUCUGUCUGUCGGAAUGUUUGCCAGAACACUUCUUAGUCAUCCUCUCAGCAGUCUCUCCUGCACUGUCGAGGAAGGGCGUGUGAACAGAGGAUGGAUUGGAGGUGGCGUGGCCAAGGCAUGGACACUAGACACUUCCUUUUUUCAUCCGUAGGAGAGCAGAUGUGAAGGACCUGCACCAGGAUGGUGGUUAGCAACAGUGGCCCGUGCCAAAGCACUUACCAAAGUGAUGACUAAGGUUGGUCAUGCCAAGUCCUAUUCCUGAGCCUGUGUAGGGUUUAGAUGUGACAAAAGUGUAAAAUUACUACUGUGAAACUUGAGGUCACAUUUCCAUCUUGCUUUCAUGUAGACACGCCACUUCCAUAAGGGACUCAUGCCCUCGGUAUCUUUAUGUCAGCUAGACUUGGGAAGGUGGUGAGGAGGUUAGCCAUCAGAAGACAUCUUACUGGAUGUGGAUUGACUAAGUAGCAUUCUCAGUGAGUCUUGAUUUGUUUAACAUAAAGACCGUGUCUUUGUUAGAUGUUUCUAUUCCUCGUGUGGAGAUGGCAGUGCACCUGGAGGAACCCUGUAACCCCUGUCCUGUCCUGUAGAGCUGGUUCAGUGCCUUGUGUCCUAUGCUUCCCAAGUGUGUGAGGAUGAAAAUGAAAAUGGCUGACCCCAGAUUGGAAGAUCAGGGGUUUUUUGUUUGGUUGGUUUGGUUUGGUUUGGUUUGGUUUGGUUUGGUUUUAUUUUCUCAGGUAUAGAAUAACCUGCAGGAGUCACAGCUUUGAAGUGUAGUUGUCAUUUCCAUUUCUUGGCCAAACUUCAUCAAAGUAGAGGCUUUAAAGGAAUAGCAUAAAGAAAUGUGGGCCAGGGCUAACUAACUGAAAUAAGUGGUAUGAAUUUCUUUAAUCUAAAAUAAGUAUGAUAUUUAGCAGUCAAGGUUACAGAAGGUAUAAGGUUACAGAAAACAUCAUUUGACAUAACAUGCCUGCCUCUCCACCUCCUCUCUCCUUCUCAAACUUUGAAAGCAAAAAUAAAACCCCUGCACUCAAGCAGGGGACUAGAGUGGUAGCUGCAGGUAGCCAGUCCCGUGUGCCCGGCACAGCUGUCUCACCCAGCAACAGCACACUCACACUGGAACACUACCAUCAGCCAUGCUGACCAAGGGCAAGGACUUCUUAAUUACAGUUGUUUCUACUCCUCUUGUCCCUUAUUUCCUUAGUUGACACCAGACUACUCUCAUUUCUAGAGCUGUUUAAUGAGACACUUGUCCAUUUGCUUAUCCAGCAAAGUCUGUGCUUUAAGUUGUAUGUCAGUAAGUAAACAAUGCCAGUUCUGCCAGCACUCUUCUCAUCCACGCCCUGGCCACUGACUGUGCCUCCCACUCCCACCUUGCCGAUGUGUGGGACCUGGCAUCUUAGUGCUGGCAUCAAAUAUGGGAUAGUACUCUUGAAUCAAGAGAUUACUUUUUUAACUCAGACAGUUAUGAUUCAUUUACAUCUGGAAAGUAAGAGACACAUGAUUUUUUUUCAGUGUAAAUAAAUCCUAGUGCUCAUCUUACAAACAUAGCAAAACCUAUAAUUGCACAUGCCUUUGAAGAGUUAGUCUAGAAUAUACUUUUUGGGUGCAUUUCAGAAAUACAACCCACCUUUUUUUAAGCAUUGUAAGACCUACUGUAGGCACCAAAGAUCUUAAGGUUCAAAAAUCUUAAUCUUAAGACAGCAGCUCCUUUGGGUGUGCACUGUCCAUUGUGGGAACUGCUGGUCCAUGGCUCCUGAGUGCUUGAAGUGUGGUUACUCCAAAUAAGGACGUCCUCUAAAGAGAAACGGAGACUAGAAUGCAUCUUAGUAAAUUAUGUAGUAGAUUAUGAAUUUAAAAGACCGAUUUUCAUACUGAAUUAAACUGAAGUCAAUUUUACCUUAAUUUUCCUUUCCUUAGUUGGACAUUGACUAUGCAGCUUACGUGGCGGCUUGCCUCAUAUUUCUAACAUAGAGUGCUGUUCUCCAUCAUUAAGGUUCCAUGAAAACUCAGCUAAGGGAGCAGCUUGGUGCUUUAUAUACUGGCACAGCCAUACAGGAACAAGAGGGGAUUACUUCUGAGAAGGCUGAUGCUAUGCAUCUUUAGGUCGUAGGGGACUAUCUCAGUGGCCAGGCACCUAAGUAGGAUGUCAUGAACCCUUUGUAUUCGCUGCUGAAAGGCACUGAGUGCUUGGUUAAAGCCCAAGCUGAAAUGGCAUUUGACAACUAGCAAAAGGAGAUAAAAAUACUGUCUGUCCUCAGUCACCUUUCUCCUCUGAUUGGGAGCAUGUGUCAGAGCAGGUGUCCAUGCUUCUCAGCUCGAUGUGCACACUGCCUCCCUCGGUAAUCUUGUUAACAUGGACAGCAGAGUAAAAGAGUUUUCUAAGGAUGUUACCAAGAAGUAAUAAAGAUUGCCAUUACUUAGGCUAGAACUAAAUGUGUUCUUUCUCCACGCUCCCUAACCUCAUCCUCUAACAUGUCCUUAAGUGUGCUAUCUAAUCAGACCAUAGCAGAACUUUAGAAGCUUUGCAUGCUAUCUUCU
rnacentral:lncRNA from 1 species